GAUGAACGCUGGCGGCGUGCCUAAUACAUGCAAGUCGAGCGAACAGAUGAGGAGCUUGCUCCUCUGACGUUAGCGGCGGACGGGUGAGUAACACGUGGAUAACCUACCUAUAAGACUGGGAUAACUUCGGGAAACCGGAGCUAAUACCGGAUAAUAUAUUUAACCGCAUGGUUCAAUAGUGAAAGACGGUUUUGCUGUCACUUAUAGAUGGAUCCGCGCCGCAUUAGCUAGUUGGUAAGGUAACGGCUUACCAAGGCAACGAUGCGUAGCCGACCUGAGAGGGUGAUCGGCCACACUGGAACUGAGACACGGUCCAGACGCCUACGGGAGGCAGCAGUAGGGAAUCUUCCGCAAUGGGCGAAAGCCUGACGGAGCAACGCCGCGUGAGUGAUGAAGGUCUUCGGAUCGUAAAACUCUGUUAUUAGGGAAGAACAAAUGUGUAAGUAACUAUGCACGUCUUGACGGUACCUAAUCAGAAAGCCACGGCUAACUACGUG
rnacentral:rRNA from 1 species